GACGAACGCUGGCGGCGUGCCUAAUACAUGCAAGUAGAACGCUGAAGGAGGAGCUUGCUUCUCUGGAUGAGUUGCGAACGGGUGAGUAACGCGUAGGUAACCUGCCUGGUAGCGGGGGAUAACUAUUGGAAACGAUAGCUAAUACCGCAUAAUAGCAGUUGUUGCAUGACAACUGUUUGAAAGGUGCAAUUGCACCACUACCAGAUGGACCUGCGUUGUAUUAGCUAGUUGGUGGGGUAACGGCUCACCAAGGCGACGAUACAUAGCCGACCUGAGAGGGUGAUCGGCCACACUGGGACGGAGACACGGCCCAGACUCCUACGGGAGGCAGCAGUAGGGAAUCUUCGGCAAUGGACGGAAGUCUGACCGAGCAACGCCGCGUGAGUGAAGAAGGUUUUCGGAUCGUAAAGCUCUGUUGUAAGAGAAGAACGAGUGUGAGAGUGGAAAGUUCACACUGUGACGGUAUCUUACCAGGAAGGGACGGCUAACUACGUG
rnacentral:rRNA from 1 species